CUAAAGUACUGAAAGACUAAAACAUCAGUCACACAAGCCUUUGCUAAUUAAUGCCUUCACCAGAAAAUGUCUGGCAUUCCUAGGAAAUCAGGGAGAUACAGAAUGCAGAAUUCAUUCAUAUUUAUAUUUUUAAAAAAUAGGCAGGAAAAGGAAAAGACACAUAAUCAGCUGUUUGAUAAAGCUCCAAAUCAGUCAGCUAGGCUAAAGGUCAUGAAUAUGUAGCUAGAUCUUAGUAAGCCUCAGUGGCAAAUCAUCACACACGCUUGCUGCAGUUUCCUGAGACCGUAUAAAGCACUUGGGAGCACAAGCCAGGCCAGUAGGCUGAGAAAUGGCAUUAACCAUUCAGCCUUUGCCAUCUGUCACCGUGCAGCCAAGCAGACACCUCUGAUGGAGUCGUUCUGUGUCUCCUCAUCUGGGUUUUUAACUGAACCUCUUCACAUGGGGCUUGCCAGCGAAUACAAAGUACUGUCACCCACAGCACUGCCAUUCUUAUUCUCAUCGCUAAAAUUCCUGUUGUCUUCCAUGUCAUUGAUAUAUCCAGGCAGUAAAUGACCUGUCAUACUAAUAAAUUAAUCAGUGAAACCGGUGCACAUCUUUGAAAGAUAGCAUGAAGUACUUUGUAAAGCAUUACUAUAUGGAAAUUGCAGCCCAUGGUAUUAUAUCCAGAAGAAUGCUUUUCUGCUUAUGCUUAAACAUGCCAAAUACAUUUGCUGAAUACCUUAGUUCUGCAGUCUUUCAGUUAUGCUUACUAUCAGCAAGAGUCACUGAAGGAUCAGGAUAAAACCUAAAAAGACUUCUUUAGUUUUCAGUGAGAUCAGUUCCCCAGUGUGAGUGAAUUGGAAGCUAAAUGAGUGCCAGCACAGGGAGGGGGGUGGGAGUGCACAGCUGGAGCUGAGCUGUCCUUCCCCGCAAUCCGUGCUGAUCUCAGCUAAAUGUGACAUGGAAAUCACUACCUGAGGAAGCUGUUCCGAGCAUGGAGGCAUUUUACACUGCUGACUGUUGCCUAUUGGAAUGUAACCAAGCACUUCUCAUCAUAUUUUUUUUUAAAAUCUUGUAAAAGUUGGUAAAAGUUAAAUCCAUAGGUGCAGGCGGAAGCGGGAUUACAUACUUUUGGAACACCAGAGAGCCAUUUUGAUGGGCAACUUUUUUCUAGUAUAAUAAUUCAUCCUUUAAAAAAAUCAAUUAGAAAAUGUAUAGCAAUGUCAUAUUUUAAAAUUCUGUCCUUUAAAUACAGUUGAUGUUAUUUUUGGGAUUUUCCUAAGCCUCCAACAACAUUCCCUCUUUUUUUUUUUUCCCCAUCUUCCACUCCCAGAAUACUUGUCCCACAGCAGGACCCCCUUCAACAUCCUCAGUUGCCCUUGCCAUCUGACACAAGAGCACAAGGAUUGCUGCUGCUGGUGCUUGGACCCCGGGGAGCCCUUUGGGAGGAAGGGUGGCUGUGUGCGACCACGUGGGAGCGUCAGCACCACUAGGAAGCUGAGAGAGAGCAAUUACUGAAGGUCAAUCAGAAGCAGGCAUUUCCAGACAACCUGUAAAGCUCCAAGGAUGCUGGUAUCCGAACCACUGCACAUCUCACAGACCUGCUGCACUGCUCCCUUCUUGGUUUUUCCAUGGAAUGGGGUGAUCCACCCUUAGGCAAACCUUUCACUGCCAGAAAUAUUUCAAGGAAUUAUUCUCCAAGGGCAUAUCCUACCCUCUCUAAUUAUGCAGAACAUUUCACUGAAAGCUUUCUCAGUAGGCAGACAUGUCUUCAACUGUUCAUUGUCAUUCUGGACAAACCAAAUCAAGCAUCCUCAGCAUAUGCUGCCAUCAAAGAACAAAAGCUGUAAAGUGAUUCAAUUAAUUUAUAGCCCAUGUAGCCACUGGAUGACAAGCAUUUCUGCCUUCUACUAAAACUAGGAAUGUUGUUGUUUUUCCCAGGGGUGGAUCUGAAACAAUAUUAACACAUCAUGUUGGUCUGCAGUUAGAUCUUCAGUCUUCACUUGUAUCCACUAACUCCAUUUGCCAGUGGAUUUCUCAGCAAGUUUAUUGCAUGUGAUCUUUUCUGGUUUUUUUCUUGAUACAGUGUGGAGUUGUGCUUUUCAUAUCAAUUAAUUAAUUAAUAAUGUCCUUUUGAAAUGUCAACAAGUACUAAUUUUGGUGUAUAGUCCUGGGUCAUGUGAGUGUGCUGAUGUUCCUAACCUAACCCUGAAAUCAGCCAGUUUGAAGAUGAAGCCUAGAAAGCUCUUUGCAGUUCGCCAGUUUAAGGGAGGAGGCAAAUCCAUCAAUCCUACUUUAAUGGGAGAAUUUUCAGGUAGACAGUAAUUGAGUUGGAAUUUGGCCAAAGCCUUGGGGUUAAAGAACCUACUGUUAUGAAAUGUGUUAGAGGAUCUUUAAUGAAUACAAACAGUUGAAAUUGUGGUUUCUUCUCUUCUGCAAGGGGUAGCAGAAAAUGCUGCUUUGCCUCCAGAAAUAAUUUGGUGCCUGUAAUUGGGCUGGGGCAUUGAAAAAAAAUAUGCCACCUUCUGAAACACCAGAACCAUUUUCUCACCACUGGAGAUCUCAGCGUGUUGACCUGUAGGAGGAGUAGCUGGCCCAUGUAUUUUAGUAGUAACCCUCACAUCAGUACAGGGAAAUAACCACUAAGCAAGAAAAGAAAUCCUUAACUAACUUGCAUUGACUUACAUUACAUUAAGUUGGGGAUUUCUUGCCUGUUUUUAGUCUCAAAAAAACUGCUGGUUUGCAGAAUAAUUCCAAACAAAUUUAUUAAGCCCUUCAGUUAGGCUGGAUGAGAAGAAGGUCUCCAGGCUUGCUGUUUUCCAUAGAUAGGUAUAUCCAUAUCUGUCAGUUCUUCUGAUUAUUUAUUUCUAAAGAUAGCUAAAGGUUGGGAAAGGGGACAUGACUGGGAAAGUCCUAGGCAGCCUAAACAUGAGGGAGAAUUGGUGCCUUACAGAUACUAGAAUUGUUUGCCUUUGAAUUUCUCCAAGUAAAAAGAAUUGUGUCAGCCAGCUGAAGUCCAAAUAUAAGUUACUGUGUGCUCAGAGGGGUUGCAUUUUGUUGUUUUAAACCACAUUUAGCGUGGGAUAAAACAACAUUAUCAUUCAGUGUUUAUCAGCUGAAUCAGAGAAGUCCCUUUAAAAGAAGCAGACUUUAAAAUGCCUAUGAAGGUAUUUACUUCAGACAUUAAAAAAAUAUGCAAGUCAAGCUUUAUAUGGGUGCUCAAAUUUUUCAAUAUGGGACUUAAAAUUCCAGAUACAUUGUGCUGCCUUGCAUCAGGACAGCCCUCCAGAGCAGCAGUGAUUUUGUAAUGCUACCUGUUGAAGCUAAAUUCUUGCUAAACUGGGAGAGCUAAUGGUUUAUUUGUACCUUCUUUAACUAUGCACUUACUCUUCAUUUAAGGCUCACAGUGGGUGUGUAGUUCUCAGCACACUGACAGACAAGGACCUGACAUACCAAGAAUCUCCAGAAACUCUGGAAUUAUUACAAGCUGUAGCAUUUACACCUCUGUGUGUGUAAUGGCUCAAGUGGUACUGGGUGAAUCAUACUUAGGCCAACAAGUGCCCUGCUACAGAGUAUAGUGGGCCUGAGAGUGAACCUCCUUUCCAAAAUCUGCAUUAAAAUUUAUGUAUUUAACUCUGGGCUUCUAUUAAAGAGAGUACUUCCUUUGUCCAAGAAUACUUUGAAACACAGUAUGUGCUCUGUAUUACUGGGAUUAGAUUUUGGAAGGUGAAAUCAACUGUAUUUCAAAACAUACACAGUUUGUAAACUGAGUAACUCAAUUUUAGUGCCCUGUCUGAGAUUCCCUGCAUUCCCCUAAUGCCUUCCCCUCCAGUCUCAGUCCUUAGAAACAAAUAGAGAGCAAAACCUGGGCAAUGAGGUGCAGUGCAAAGGGCCAAAAUAUGCCGAAACUAACCUCACAGAAAUUGCAAAAGGAGGAGAAAUUAAUUCCUUCAAGAUGACAUGGGCUUGGAAUCCAGUGAAAUAUUAUUCUUCCUUUUACAUUUGAUUUUUGGUUUGGAUUAUUCUAGGAUAUUUAUCCUUCUCUCUUGGAAUAAUUUUGCUUUUGGAAUAAUUUCAGACAACAAACAUAGUACACAGUUUAACUUACUGCAACCCUCUGGCUCCCAGAAUAACUUCUACCGACUUAUUUCUCAACUGUUGGCUAUGCUCUGCUGGGUUUUAACUCCUUUUGUGCCCCUCAGAUCUGGAAUUGCUGCUGAGAUAUUCUUCUUGAGGACCUCUUUUUUCUGAUUUACUGUGUGCUUCUCUAAGUAAAGGAAUUACAUGGCUGUAAAGUAGUAGGAAGCUGCUGAUGAUUUUUGAGAGCAGAACCACACACAGGAGACCCAUAUAAUUUGCUUUGUAAUUGAAUGGUACAUUUCUCAGCAUCCAGAUUUUUAGCUGUUGUAAUUUCUCUUUUAAGAUGAUAAAUCCUUCAGAGGUUGCCAUGCAUUCCUAUUAGAAGACAGCUAGGAUAUAUUUCCCAAGCUCAUAAUAAUAAGUUGCCCGAGCACAGAACUGCCAAAGAAUCUCCCUUAGAGUUUUUGUAAUCCUCCAGUAACCUUGUGCAAACUUCUCCUGGGAUGUAACAGAAACUUGGCACCUUCUUCUGGCUGUCCCCAGGCUGGGCUGGUGCCUCUGGGAGCUGUGCCCUGCACCGUUGCUGCGAGCUUGUUUUUGUCUUUGGGCUGAUUGGAUCUUCCUUCUGGAGGCCAGGCUGUGCCAGCUCCCUUGGGGCUGAGCGGCCCCACGGGGCUCAGUGAAACCAUCCAUGGAGAGAGGUGAGCUUGAGGAGCUGCUCAGUGGGAGCUGGAAUGGCACCGUCUGGCCCUUGGAAGCAGAGAGAGGAAAAUCUUUUCCUCCUUUUGUGAAAAGCAGAGAGCAUGUGUAACUGAGAGGGAUGGUGAGCAGGAAUGUGUCAAGAAGAAGUAGACAGGGGAGGGAAAUGAAUCUUUGAUUCAUUAUCAUGGAACAGCAGCUAAGCUGGAGCCAAAAAAUACUUGAGAGAUUUAACAUGAGACCUACAUUUUAUUUUAGAGUUCAUGCUGCAAUUUCAUUGCAAUGACAAAAAUGAUUCAACUGAAUAAUUGAACUGAAGCUGAUAAUUGUUUGGUUGUUCUUGGUGGUUUGAUGGAUGAACUGAUAUUGAAGUUUAAAAAUUUCUCUCCUUUUAGCAAAAAAAAAGUCACUCUUCUGCUCCAGAGUGCAUGCUUGAGAAGGAUUGGAUAUAGUGUCUUUCCUGCUGCAGAUGUAGGUGAAUGUGGAUAUGGACACUGGAUUGAAGUCUGAGAACAGGAAGACUGGCAAGGAGACUGAGAAGUGAAUAGGCAAAGUCAUCACUGCAGCUUCUGAGGCUACCCCAGAAAACCUUUCCCAGAGGAGAUGUCACCAGAGCACAGGGGUGAAUGACUAAUCCAUCCCUGCCAAAAGCAUCUCCUGCUGAUUGCAGGUCACACGUGCUGCCUGGUUGCCUCAUGAGCUACUUUGUGCAUAAGAAAUGGAUACUCAACAGCACAGGUAUUAUAAUUUUAUAAUCUUGUCAUUACUUAAACAUUUCUCUUUUUCUAAGAUGUUUCUUGGGCAUUGCAAGUACUUACUAUGGAAUGAAAACAUUUUAAAAUAUGCUUUUAAAUCAAGCCCCCUUGUCCCAUAGCAAGGUGGGCUCUCUCCAUUCUCUUUCCAGCUCCUCACUGCAGUUGUGCCACAUUGUUGUGGCUGGGAGAUUUUUAUCCUGUAACUAAACUUUUUUGUGCCUAA